CGGAGGAUGCAAGCGUUAUCCGGAAUGAUUGGGCGUAAAGCGUCCGUAGGUGGUUUUGUAAGUCUGUGGUUAAAGCGUGUAGCUCAACUACAUAACGGCCAUGGAAACUACAAGACUUGAGUGAAGUAGGGGUAGAGGGAAUUCCCAGUGUAGCGGUGAAAUGCGUAGAGAUUGGGGAAGAACACCGGUGGCGAAAGCGCUCUACUGGACUUAUACUGACACUGAGGACGAAAGCUAGGGGAGCGAAAGGGAUU
rnacentral:rRNA from 1 species